GCUGAAAUAGCUCAAUUGGAAGCGCGUCAGACCGAAGAUCUGAAGGUUCCUGGUUCGAUUCCUGGGUUUCAGCA